rnacentral:rRNA from 1 species
CCCGCUGAACUUAAGCAUAUCAAUAAGCGGAGGAAAAGAAACUAACAAGGAUUCCCUUAGUAACUGCGAGUGAAGUGGGAUGAGCUCAAAUUUAAAAUCUGGUAGUCUCUGGCUGCCCCGAGUUGUAAUCUAGAGAAGUGUUUUCUGUGCUGGACUGCAUUCAAGUUUCCUGGAUAUGGAACAUCAUAGAGGGUGAGAAUCCCGUCUUUGAUGCAGACUCCCAGUGCUCUGUGAUGCACUCUCAACGAGUCGAGUUGUUUGGGAUUGCAGCUCAAAAUGGGAGGUAAAUUCCUUCUAAAGCUAAAUAUUGGCGAGAGACCGAUAGCGAACAAGUACCGUGAGGGAAAGAUGAAAAGCACUUUGGAAAGAGAGUUAAACAGUACGUGAAAUUGUUAAAAGGGAAACAAUUGAAGUCAGUUGCAUCUACUUGGACUCAGCCUUACCUUGGUUUGGUGCAUUUCCUUGUGGAUGGGCCAGUGUCUAUGUUGACUACUGGAAAAGGGGCUAGGGAAUGUGGCUCUUUUGGGAGUGUUAUAGCCCUGGCUCAUAUACAGUAAUUAAUAUGGAGUGAUACAGCAUGCUUCGGUGGUGCUUGUGCUGGCAUAAUGGCUUUAAAUGACCCGUCUUGAAACACGGACCAAGGAGUCUAACAUGUCUGCAAGUAUUUGGGUGAUAAACUCAAAUGCGUAAUGAAAGUGAUGGCUGGGAACCUUGCAAAGGGGGCACCAGUGCCCCGAGCGGAUCUUCUGUGAUGCAUCGGAGGUAGAGCAUACAUGUUGAGACCCGAAAGAUGGUGAACUAUGCCUGAAUAGGGUGAAGCCAGAGGAAACUCUGGUGGAGGCUCGUAGCGAUUCUGACGUGCAAAUCGAUCGUCAAAUUUGGGUAUAGGGGCGAAAGACUAAUCGAACCAUCUAGUAGCUGGUUCCUGCC